AAAAAGACUGAGAAAAAGAGGAGUACGUAAAUACUGCUAACAGAGAGGAAAAUCAAUUGCUGAAAGAUUUUUCUAGAUAAGAUUUAUGGAAAGUAGCUUUGGAGUUGCUAAACUGAAAUAGUAGUAAGUUUAGACGGUGAGAAUCGUUAAAUCUAUUGAGAGUUAAGAUAUAAUUUUAAUACAAUAUAUCUUAAAAUUAAGGUGGUAACGCGAGCUUUUCGUCCUUAGA
rnacentral:ncRNA from 1 species